rnacentral:tRNA from 1 species
GCAUUGGUGGUUCAGUGGUAGUAUUCUCGCCUUCCAUGCAGGGGACCCAGGUUCUAUUCCUGGCCAACGUA